rnacentral:rRNA from 1 species
GGUUAAGCGACUAAGCGUACACGGUGGAUGCCCUGGCAGUCAGAGGCGAUGAAGGACGUGCUAAUCUGCGAUAAGCGUCGGUAAGGUGAUAUGAACCGUUAUAACCGGCGAUUUCCGAAUGGGGAAACCCAGUGUGUUUCGACACACUAUCAUUAACUGAAUCCAUAGGUUAAUGAGGCGAACCGGGGGAACUGAAACAUCUAAGUACCCCGAGGAAAAGAAAUCAACCGAGAUUCCCCCAGUAGCGGCGAGCGAACGGGGAGCAGCCCAGAGCCUGAAUCAGUGUGUGUGUUAGUGGAAGCGUCUGGAAAGGCGCGCGAUACAGGGUGACAGCCCCGUACACAAAAAUGCACAUGCUGUGAGCUCGAUGAGUAGGGCGGGACACGUGGUAUCCUGUCUGAAUAUGGGGGGACCAUCCUCCAAGGCUAAAUACUCCUGACUGACCGAUAGUGAACCAGUACCGUGAGGGAAAGGCGAAAAGAACCCCGGCGAGGGGAGUGAAAAAGAACCUGAAACCGUGUACGUACAAGCAGUGGGAGCA